UAGUAUGUCUGUAUGAUAAGUCGAGUUACACUGUACCUUAAUUGGUACAUGUGACAAUAAACUGACCUUUGAACCUUUGAAUUUUCACUGCAGAUGCUGGAAGCCUGAAAUGAAAAUGAAACAUACCAGAUUUGGCACAAUGGCGCAGCGGUUGAGUUGCUGCCUUACAGCGCACGAGACCCGGGUUCGAUUCUGACUAUGGGUGCUGUCUGUACGGAGUUGGCAUUUGUCUGCCAUGAGAAGUGGACACCUGAAUGGCUCGAUUGUAAUCAUGUAUUGUCUUUCUGCUGACUGGAUAGUACGCAACAAAAGCUUUUCACUGUACCUCGGUACACGUGGCAACAAACUAAACUGAACUGAAAACUGCAAGAAAUUGCAGUGUUGUAGAUGUAGCCCAGUCUAUCGCACUGACCAGACUUCCCACCAUUGAUUCCAUCUUCACUUCAGUCUGCCUCAGGAAAGCAGCAAAUAUAAUCAAAAACUUGUCCCAUAUCAGUUAUUCCUUUCUCUCUGCUCUCGUCCGAAUGGUCUCCUCCUGCACCUAUUUUCUAUCUUUCUAUAGAGUUAGAGCUCUAGGGGCUAGUGGAAUCAAGGGAUAUGGGGAGAAGGCAGGCACGUUUUAUUGAUUGGGGACGAUCAGCUAUGAUCAUAAUGGCGGUGCUGGCUCGAAGGGCCGAAUGGCCUCCUCCUUCACCUAUUUUCUAUGUUUCUAUAUGUUUCUAUGUACAGAAGCUUGAAAGUGUGCACCAUCAGACUCAGGUGCAGACUCAGCUACAGUGCACUACAAUGCCGAGAACUAUAUUCUGCACUCUGUAUCUUCCUCUUUGCUCUGUCUAUUGUACUUGAGAUAGACUUGAUUGAAUUGAUAUAUAUCAUGGAUAGCAUGCAAAACAAAACAAUGAUGGUCAUUACUGCAUUUUGUAACUGCUCAAAACCAUCUGUUGUAAAGCGCCCACACGACUGACACUCUUCCAGCAACGGUGCACCAUACCUGCAGGAUGCACCAUCUCUAAAGUGCCCUGCAGUUACACAUCAAAGCUACCCGAAUGCCAUCUCCCAAACCAAUGCCCUCUGCCACCAAGGGCAAAGGAAGUCAGGCCCAGGAGAACACCACUAUCUGCAGGUUUCCCACCAUGGAGGCUUCUUCAUCAUCACUGACACCAAUUCCUGGAACUCCCUACCCAACAGUGCCGUGGAGCAAGUAUUGUAUCACUAGAAGGACUGCAACAGUUCAAGGCAGCUCAUCGCCACCUUCUCAACGGCAAUACGGAAUGUGCAGUAGAUGGUGGCCUUGGCUUCAAGCUGAGAUUCUUAAAACUUAAUAAAGAGCUCUCUGUUGCAAUA